rnacentral:rRNA from 1 species
AACGAACGCUGGCGGCAUGCCUAACACAUGCAAGUCGAACGAGACCUUCGGGUCUAGUGGCGCACGGGUGCGUAACGCGUGGGAAUCUGCCCUUGGGUUCGGAAUAACAGUUGGAAACGACUGCUAAUACCGGAUGAUGACGUAAGUCCAAAGAUUUAUCGCCCAAGGAUGAGCCCGCGUAGGAUUAGCUAGUUGGUGAGGUAAAGGCUCACCAAGGCGACGAUCCUUAGCUGGUCUGAGAGGAUGAUCAGCCACACUGGGACUGAGACACGGCCCAGACUCCUACGGGAGGCAGCAGUGGGGAAUAUUGGACAAUGGGCGAAAGCCUGAUCCAGCAAUGCCGCGUGAGUGAUGAAGGCCUUAGGGUUGUAAAGCUCUUUUACCCGGGAUGAUAAUGACAGUACCGGGAGAAUAAGCUCCGGCUAACUCCGUG